rnacentral:rRNA from 1 species
AGGACGAACGCUGGCGGCGUGCUUAACACAUGCAAGUCGAGCGGUAAGGCCUUUCGGGGUACACGAGCGGCGAACGGGUGAGUAACACGUGGGUGAUCUGCCCUGCACUUCGGGAUAAGCCUGGGAAACUGGGUCUAAUACCGGAUAUGACCUCCGAUCGCAUGGUUGGUGGUGGAAAGAUUUAUCGGUGCAGGAUCGGGCCCGCGGCCUAUCA